rnacentral:rRNA from 1 species
CCUGGCCUUGACAUACUAAGAACUUUCCAGAGAUGGAUUGGUGCCUUCGGGAACUUAGAUACAGGUGCUGCAUGGCUGUCGUCAGCUCGUGUCGUGAGAUGUUGGGUUAAGUCCGCAACGAGCGCAACCCUUUUCCUUAUUUGCCAGCGGGUCAUGCCGGGAACUUUAAGGAUACUGCCAGUGACAAACUGGAGGAAGGCGGGGACGACGUCAAGUCACCAUGGCCCUUACGGCCAGGGCUACACACGUGCUACAAUGGUCGGUACAAAGGGUUGCUACCUCGCGAGAGGAUGCUAAUCUCAAAAAGCCGAUCGUAGUCCGGAUCGCAGUCUGCAACUCGACUGCGUGAAGUCGGAAUCGCUAGUAAUCGCGGAUCAGAAUGCCGCGGUGAAUACGUUCCCGGGCCUUGUACACACCGCCCGUCACACCAUGGGAGUUUGUUGCACCAGAAGUAGGUAGUCUAACCGCAAGGAGGACGCUUACCACGGUGUGGCCGAUGACUGGGGUGAAGUCGUAACAAGGUAAGCGUAGAUGA